GCCCGGUCUCAGCUCCUCGGGAGGCUGAGACAGGAGGAUGGCUCGAGUCCAGGGGUUCUGGGCUGUAGUGCGCUACGCCGAUCGGGUGUCAGCACUAAGUUUGGCAUCAAUUUGGUGACCUCCCGGGAGCGAGGGACCACCAUGUUCCCUAAGGAGGGGUGAACCGGCCCAGGUCAGAAACGGAGCAGGUCAAAACUCCUGUGCUGACAGUUUCUUGAUUAAUGACUGAUGUGAGACAGCACAGUUCACUCUUCAUUAAUUAACCCCCCCA
rnacentral:SRP_RNA from 1 species